GACGAACGCUGGCGGCGUGCCUAAUACAUGCAAGUUGAGCGAUGAAGCUUGGUGCUUGCACCAAUUUGAAGAGCAGCGAACGGGUGAGUAACGCGUGGGGAAUCUGCCUUUGAGCGGGGGACAACAUUUGGAAACGAAUGCUAAUACCGCAUAACAACUUUAAACAUAAGUUUUAAGUUUGAAAGAUGCAAUUGCAUCACUCAAAGAUGAUCCCGCGUUGUAUUAGCUAGUUGGUGAGGUAAAGGCUCACCAAGGCGAUGAUACAUAGCCGACCUGAGAGGGUGGUCGGCCACAUUGGGACUGAGACACGGCCCAAACUCCUACGGGAGGCAGCAGUAGGGCAUCUUCGGCAAUGGACGGAAGUCUGACCGAGCAACGCCGCGGGAGUGCAGAAGGUUUUCGGAUCGUAAAACUCUGUUGGUAGAGAAGAACGUUGGUGAGAGUGGAAAGCUCAUCAAGUGACGGUAACUACCCAGAAAGGGACGGCUAACUACGUG
rnacentral:rRNA from 1 species